rnacentral:lncRNA from 1 species
GGUAGCUCUGAUUCUCAUUCCAGAUGAGAUACGUAGGCAUAGGAUGCGAUAUCCUAGCGAGCCCGCUCCCCUCUUCUUCCAUCUGUGUUUUAUUCCAGUAUGUGUGUAUUCUUUGAGCAGUUAUUCAGCAACCUUAUUCUUUUCUUUUGAGCGUGGAUCCCGUCGAGUACGACGAACAUGAGGGGUGCUAAUACCUUCCCCUUGCGUAACCGACUCCCAUGCCUUGCAUCUCCGGUUGCG